rnacentral:rRNA from 2 species
GUUAACGCUGGCGNCGUGCCUAAUACAUGCAAGUCGAGCGAACUGAUUAGAAGCUUGCUUCUAUGACGUUAGCGGCGGACGGGUGAGUAACACGUGGGCAACCUGCCUGUAAGACUGGGAUAACUUCGGGAAACCGAAGCUAAUACCGGAUAGGAUCUUCUCCUUCAUGGGAGAUGAUUGAAAGAUGGUUUCGGCUAUCACUUACAGAUGGGCCCGCGGUGCAUUAGCUAGUUGGUGAGGUAACGGCUCACCAAGGCAACGAUGCAUAGCCGACCUGAGAGGGUGCACGGCCACACUGGGACUGAGACACGGCCCAGACUCCUACGGGAGGCAGCAGUAGGGAAUCUUCCGCAAUGGACGAAAGUCUGACGGAGCAACGCCGCGUGAAGUGAUGAAGGCUUUCGGGUCGUAAAACUCUGUUGUUAGGGAAGAAGAACAAGUACAAGAGUAACUGCUUAGUACCUUGACGGUACCUAACCAGAAAGCACGGCUAACUACGUGC